rnacentral:rRNA from 1 species
UACAGAGGUCUCAAGCGUUGUUCGGAUUCAUUGGGCGUAAAGGGUGCGUAGGCGGCGCGGUAAGUCGGAUGUGAAAUCUCGGGGCUUAACUCCGAAACUGCAUUCGGUACUGACGUGCUUGAGGACUGGAGAGGAGACUGGAAUUUACGGUGUAGCGGUGAAAUGCGUAGAUAUCGUAAGGAAGACCAGUGGCGAAGGCGGGUCUCUGGACAGUUCCUGACGCUGAGGCACGAAGGCCAGGGGAGCAAAAGGG